ACAGAAUACUCAAAAGCAAACUUUUUAACAUUGGCAUAAGAGGAAAAAGAACCCAGUCCUUGCUACAUAUCUUCUGAAAGGUCAAGUAAUACCAAGAUGUCAUGUUGUGUGUGACCUUUGUGUCUAUCACGAUGAAAAACUAAUGUUUGAUGAACAUAUAGAUAAAAUCAUCUCGAAGGCCUCAAAAGCCCUAGGCUUCAUCAUGAGGAUCAAGAAGAUACAAUCCUCCACUUACUUGUGAAACCUACAGCACUAACUAUAGAGGUAACUCGUUCCUGGUGCGAGCAAGCAGAUCUUUUAAUUCUCUUUGCAAAGAACUUAAUUUAGAUCCCUAUACCACCAAAAGCACUAAAUUUCGAUCGGAUUAUAAUAAGAGGUUUUUUAGUA